GACACAAUGGCCGAGCGGUUCAAGGCAAUAGGCUGGUUUUCCGUGAAGCAGGCAAUUGAAUAUGCGCCUUGUUCAUGCAGGUUCGAUUCCUGCUCGUGUCA